rnacentral:tRNA from 2 species
GGACUCGUAGCUCACUGGUGGAGCAGACCGACUCUUAAUCGGUCCGAAGGGGGUUCGAUUCCCCCGAGUCCU